GCAGACGGACCAGGGGAACUGGGGACUGAAGAGCACGAGAAAUUUAGCGCUCGAGCGGGGGCCGUGGAAUGCGGCCGUGUACGUCUACGUGGCCCCUACUCACCAAGUCCAGCGUAUUUGUGUAUUUAUGUGGAACACCAAGUUCGAGAGCAAGAGUAAGCACGAGAAGCUAAGAGUGAAACAAGUGGAAUAGAGAAACAACCAAAGAAGUAAAGAGAGGUAAAGAGGACAGGGAGGACAAGAGCCAAUGACCAACCAACCAACCAAGGUGUGCCGGCUGCUGAUGCCCUUUUCGUAGCUGCUGCUGCUGCUUCUGCUGGUGGUACUGGUACUGGUGCUGUUGUUGUUCUUGGUUGAGUAUGAGAUACUCUUUAGCUGAAGCUACCUCAGCAUCUACCUCUACCUCUUCCUCUGCUUCUUCUUGUUCUCGAGUAUCGGCAAUGCAGCAGGAGCACCAGGAGUAACCAAACGAGAAGCGACAACUUCUUGUGUGUUGUCUUUGCCUCUGGGAUUCCUCGAAAUUCCAUCAGCUAAAUUCCCACAAGGAACAACAACACGAGGUCCACUCUGGUCUUUACUAACCAAGCAGAUUCGUUGUCUAACGCUAGUUCUACCUGAAUGAUUACCUAGAACGUGGAGAACGUGAGGAAAUGUCAAUACCGAGGCCGCCGUAGCUUUUCAUUUUUUUGCCAACAUAAUGUCAGGAAAUUUCUUUCGGUAUCUUGCUUGGGUGUCCCGAUUUUUGUUGGUCGUGGAUCUUGGUUAUGUUAUUUUGAAAUACGACCACGAGGAAGAAAUAGACCUAAAAUAUUGUUGGGAAAAUUUUUUA